GGCGAACGCUGGCGGCGUGCUUAACACAUGCAAGUCGGACGAUGAAGCCGGAGCUUGCUCUGGUGAAUUAGUGGCGAACGGGUGAGUAACACGUGAGUAACCUGCCCUUGACUCUGGGAUAACUGCGGGAAACUGUAGCUAAUACCGGAUACGACCCUCGGAGGCAUCUCCUGGGGGUGGAAAGAAUUUCGGUCAAGGAUGGACUCGCGGCCUAUCAGCUAGUUGGUGAGGUAAAGGCUCACCAAGGCGACGACGGGUAGCCGGCCUGAGAGGGUGACCGGCCACACUGGGACUGAGACACGGCCCAGACUCCUACGGGAGGCAGCAGUGGGGAAUAUUGCACAAUGGGCGCAAGCCUGAUGCAGCAACGCCGCGUGAGGGAUGACGGCCUUCGGGUUGUAAACCUCUUUUAGCAGGGAAGAAGCGAAAGUGACGGUACCUGCAGAAAAAGCACCGGCUAACUACGUGCCAGCAGCCGCAGUAA
rnacentral:rRNA from 1 species